rnacentral:rRNA from 1 species
GAUGAACGCUGGCGGCGUGCCUAAUACAUGCAAGUCGAGCGAACAGACGAGAGUGCUUGCACUCUCUGACGUUAGCGGCGGACGGGUGAGUAACACGUGGGUAACCUACCUAUAAGACUGGGAUAACUUGGGGAAACCGGAGCUAAUACCGGAUAAUAUUUAGCUUCGCAUGAAGCAAUAGUGAAAGACGGUUCUGCUGUCACUUAUAGAUGGACCCGCGGUGUAUUAGCUAGUUGGUGAGGUAACGGCUCACCAAGGCAACGAUACAUAGCCGACCUGAGAGGGUGAUCGGCCACACUGGGACUGAGACACGGCCCAGACUCCUACGGGAGGCAGCAGUAGGGAAUCUUCCGCAAUGGACGAAAGUCUGACGGAGCAAUGCCGCGUGAGUGAAGAAGGUUUUCGGAUCGUAAAACUCUGUUGUAAGGGAAGAACAAGUACGUUAGUAACUGAACGUACCUUGACGGUACCUUACCAGAAAGCCACGGCUAACUACGUG